GCUCCGGUGGUGUAGCCCGGUUUAGCAUAGCGGCCUUAGCAGCCGUUGAUCGCGGGUUCGAAAGCGGCCCAGGCCGCAGAAAGUCCCGCCCGGAGCACCA
rnacentral:tRNA from 1 species